rnacentral:rRNA from 1 species
GAUGAACGCUGGCGGCGUGCCUAAUACAUGCAAGUCGAGCGAACGGACGAGAAGCUUUCCUCUCUGAUGUUAGCGGCGGACGGGUGAGUAAAACGUGGAUAACCUACCUAUAAGACUGGGAUAACUUCGGGAAACCGGUGCUAAUACCGGCUAAUAUUUUGAACCGCAUGGUGCAAGAGUGAAAGACGGUCUUGCUGUCACUUAUAGAUGGAUCGGCGCUGCAUUAGCUAGGUGGUAAGGUAACGGCUUACCAAGGCAACGAUGCAUAGCCGGCCUGAGAGGGUGACCGGCCACACUGGAACUGAGACACGGUCCAGACUCCUACGGGAGGCAGCAGUGGGGAAUCUUGCGCAAUGGGCGAAAGCCUGACGCAGCAACGCCGCGUGAGUGAUGAAGGUCUUCGGAUCGUAAAACUCUGUUAUUAGGGAAGAACAUAUGUGUAAGUAACUGUGCACAUAUUGACGGUACCUAAUCAGAAAGCCACGGCUAACUACGUG